rnacentral:rRNA from 1 species
GACUUGGUUUGAUGCACCUGGCCCGCGGCCCACAAGGCCUGUGAGUGCCGGCGCGCGUUUACCAUCCUUCUAGCAACGGCUACCCUUAACUGGGCGGCUGGAACUGGAUCUUUUACUUUGAAAAAAUUAGAGUGUUUAAAGCAGGCGUUUGCUCUGAAUACAUUAGCAUGGAAUAAUAAUCUAACUUCGGUUCUAUUUUGUUGGUUUCUAUAACUGAAGUGUAUGGAUCGGGAUAGUUGGGGGUGCGAGUAUUGGCCGGUCAGAGGUGAAAUUCUUGGAUUCGGUCAAGACUAACUUAUGCGAAAGCAUU